rnacentral:piRNA from 1 species
UGGGUCCAUUUGUCGAUGAGGCCGACUGU